UUUUUUUUUUUAAGUGAGAACAAAAACUGAAAAUUUGAAAAACGAAAUAGUUAUUAAACGGAGCCUCAAUUUGUCUCACUAAAAUUCAUAUUUUAGGGAGAAAUUUGCGUGGCAAGUUCGCGUGUUUACGUUCAAGACGGAAUUUAUGAUGAAUUUGUGAAGAAGUUAAAAGACGAGGUGAAAACUUGGGUAGUUGGGGAUCCUUUUGAUCCUAAUGUUCGUCAAGGACCCCAGGUAAUUAAUCAUUACCGUCUAAACUCAUGUUCCAAUAUUUCUAAUUCAAGUACUACAUAUGCUUGAAAAUUCCUCAGCUUUUCAAAAAAUACAACCUCGAAACUUCGUGUUUCGUUUCAUUCCCUGAAAAUCGCAGGUUGAUAAGCAUCAGUUUGAUAAAGUUUUAACGUACAUUGAGCAAGGGAAGAGAGAAGGUGCCACAUUGUUAACUGGGGGUAAACCUUUGGGGGAUAAGGGAUAUUACAUAGAGCCAACAGUAUUCACUGAUGUCAAGGUACAUUAACUUCGUGUUCCUUUUGAUGUCGGAUACAACGUUCUGUCCUCCUUUUUACAGAAAAAAAAUGGAUGGAACGUUAAAUCUGACAUGAUUAAUUUUUUGUUCUCAUUAUUUUAUAACAAUUUGAUCAGGAGGAUGCUUAUAGCCAAAGACGAAAUUUUCGGACCUGUAAUGGCGCUGAUGAAGUUCAAGUAAGCACAGUCUCAUCUCCUGUUCAAUACAAGAAACAUUGUUUUUUAAGCCAUUGCAAUGUUACUUAAUUUUCGAACCUGGGACUCACAUUCUCAACAAUUUUACUGAUGGUACGUAUGACGGUAUGAGCUAAUAUUGCAGGACGAUCGAGGAGGCAAUAAAGAAAGCCAACAACAGCAACUAUGGACUAGCAGCUGGGAUUAUAACCAAGGACCUGAAUGUGGCCAACACCGUCUCCAGGUCGAUUCGUGCGGGCAUUAUUUGGAUCAACUGCUACUUGGCAUUCGAUGGAGACUGCCCUUACGGAGGAUAUAAGAUGAGUGGGUUCGGAAGAGAGCUUGGUUUGCAAGGCCUCCACAAAUAUCUCCAUACCAAAUCUGUUGUCACUCCCAUUUACAACUCUCCCUGGCUCUAAAUUCCCAGACUCUUCAAGGCCAGGCAGAUUGUGAAGUUGCUUCUAGAUUGUCAUGUGUUUGAACUAGCCCAUUUAUACAAUAAGUGUGACAAUAAGUGCGACUUCGAUUGUCAUGUUUGAGCGAACUUGGACGAUAAGUGUGGCUUAGAUUGUCAUGUGUUUGAACUAGCCCGUUUAUAGCAAAAAUAAAUAAAAGGGAGACUUUGGAUGCGGUCCCUAGUUAUGAAUAAUCUUUGACUGCAACUUUUUCAAUUUUUGAUCCAAGUCCCUAAAAUUAAUUGAUAAUUUAUUUCUAUGUACGUUACUAUAUUUUUUAAAUUAAAAAUUAAAAUUUAUAGUUGUUUAUAGUAAUGAGAUUUUAAAUAAAAAACAUAAUUUGUGGGAUUAAAAAUAUUAAAAUAUAAAUAUACUAUGUGUGUGUGUGUGUAAACAUGGGUACAUUCAUAAAAAAUAACCAAAAAAUUAUUGUAUCAAAACAUGGGUACAUUCUUCAAAAUGGGUACAUUUAGCAAAAAUAAAAAUGGGUACAAUACAAAUAAAACUUUAAAAAAUAUGGGCACAAAAAGAAAUUAAUAUAUGGGUACAAAUUAAAAUUGAAAGGAAAAUUGGUACAAAUUAAAAAAGGGUUGCAAAUUAAAAAUGGGUACAAACUAAAAAUAAAAAUAUAUGAUAAAAAAUUUAGCCAUAAAUAUAAAUAUACUAAUUGUAACAUUUUUAAUAUUGAAUGAAUAUAUUUAGAAAUAAAAAAUAUUUUAUUAUUGAAAUAAUUAAUGAUAUUAUUAAUACAAGGGACCUUGAUCAAAAAUUGAAAAGUAAUAAGGUUUUAAUUAAUAGAGUAGUAAAAAUAAGGAUGAAAACCUAAUUAGUUUGAAAUAUAGUAAUAGCCUAUAAGUCAUGAUUAAAUAUGGGUUGAAAAGAAUUUUCCUUCUGCUCUUACUCGAUGGCUACUUGUUUAUAAGAAGUAUAGCACUCAUCACGUAACCUGAUGUAUACCUCCUUGCCGAUUAGGGCGAAGCUCAGACGAGCACGGGGUAUAUUCCAGUGACAAACAAGUACUUCUAAUAUGUACCGCACACUCAACCAAGUGUUUCGUGUGAUUACUAGGAUCCAGCACAGCUUAUACUAUAUGUUAUUCAGCAUUAAGAUGGCCAAGUUUGAACACCAAUAGAAGAGAUCUUUACAUCUCACCGGAAGUACAUCUAAGGGCGGAGGUAGGUAGUGGCUGCCCUAGGCUCUAGGUCAUCCCAUCUUUUAAGAAGUGAACAAACUUGGUGUUAAAAGAGAUUAAAUUCCAUGGUGUUUAUGUGCACUUAGAGUGACUUCAUGUGAACCUUGAGUGAAUUCGCUCGAAAACUUAGGGGAGAGAUUGAAUUUAUUAAAUCAUAAAAUGCACUAUGAAAUUCUUUCAAAUCACCAAAAUCCUUCACUUUUUACUUUUUAGAGGCCUUAUAUCACAAAUGGUUCCUGAAAUUGACACAUCCCAUCAAGAUGAUCCUUGAAAUUGAAAAUCGAUCAAUGUAGUCCCUGAAAAUAGAUGUUGCAAAUCAAUGUGGUCCUUUCGUUAAAAAUUUGUCAAAAUUCUGUUAUGAGCUGACGUGGUACAUAACUAGGUCCCACAAGCCUAAUUAUAUAUUGUUAUAAGAAUUAAAAAGAUUUAAUUAUAAAUAAAAAAUUGUAUAAUUAAAAACUAAAAAAAAAAAAGCAAAAAAAAAAAAAAGUAACAUCUCAGUUUCUAUCCUGAAAUUUCUUGGUUUUCAAAAUUUCGUACAUCAAGUUUUUUUCGUCCGAGAGUGGUACCUAGAGUUAUAAUUAUGGGACAAUUUCAUAGUUAUAAUUAUGGGACAAUUUCAUACUUCCAUUAAACUGUUUGUUAAAAUAGACGUUAACCUAUGAUGUGGCGCCCACGUAAACAAUGAUUGAACGUCAUGUGUUAAUCUGGCCCCAUGUGGAAAUUAAAAAAACUGAAUAAAAUUAAAAAUUGAAGUCGUCGCAAAAAAAUGAUCAGAAUUUUGAAAGAGUUCAUAAAAGUUUGAUUAAAUACCCCUAAAUUUUCUUAAACUCAUUUAAAACCCUAAAUACCAUAAACUAAAAACCCCAAAGUUGAAAUUUAGCCUACCCUACACUUUGAUUUUACUACAUACUAGAAGGAAAGAAAGUAGCCACCUUUGGAUCAUCUCCAACCGAAUAAGUUAUAGUCCAAACAUCGAUUAGAAAUGAGUUUUUGAACAAAUCAAAUAAUUUCUUAAUUUUAGACCUUUAACCCCAUCCAUGCAAUGACCAAAUCUUAGUCUCCAUAAACAAUGGGAGCCCCAACUGCCCAAGACAGACCACGAAGUUUUAUGCAUCUUUAAUUUCAUCCAUAAUUUCUCACGUAUCUUUGAAAAAAUAAAAAAUAAAUUCUCACGUAUAAAAAGAAAUAUUUGAAUGUGAGUAUUCCAACCAACAAGGGUUUGUUUAGUGUCCCUUCCCAGUAAAUUGAGUUCAUGACUUUCUUCUUUUUAUAAAAAAACAUAAAUUUUAUUCGUAGUUUAGGAGCGCUCAUUAACCGACAUAUCCAAUACAAGGUCUUCGUCCAGUCACAUUGCAAAAGAUUCGUUUCUCAUCCGUUAUUGAUUCACGGUCAAUAAUGCGCAACAUUGCAUGCAUUUAGAGCAAGUUCACCUCACUAAGGCAAUAAUUGUCUCAUCAAUUGAGCAAAAAAAAUUAUUGUUUUAGGGGAUCAAAACAGGUUGGCUGUUUGAUGAAAUUUCAAAGAUCCGGAUCAUUUGAUCUGGUGAUCUUGAUGGAAGAGAUUUAGAGAUGAUCUAUUUCCGCUUCAGUGCGGGCCCCAGUGCAACUGACUUGCCGGCUUACUCGCCCAGCUUUGGCGCAUGAUCCACACACCUGACAUAAACAUUAAAAAAAGACAUGGCAGAUGUUAGAUCCACUCAGGCGCUGGGUUGGGCUACUCCGGCCCGAUUGAGCGGUCGGGCUCUGCUUCCUUCCACUGUAGCUCGACUGAUUGGACUUGGAGUGAAGAGGAUUUUGUAGAUUUUGGGGGAUUCAAGCACCCAAUUGCUCAGGCAAUUAGGAAGGAUGGACUUGCUCUUAUGCGCCUGUAGUUUUUUUAUUUUUCUUCAAAUCUUUGCCAAUCUUUUUCAAUUUAAUGAUUUAUGUCCCACAAUAUUUCAUCAAAUCUCCAUUUGGGACACACAAAAAUCAGCCUUGUUAGUUAGGAUAUUCUUCAUUAAUCCCCUCCAUGGCAAUUUUCCAUGGGUCUUUGUCUCUUCCCUUUAUUAGGUAGAGGUGGUUGUCAAUUGCAGAUAGAGGUGGUUGUUCUACCACAAAAGUUCACAACGCCUAUGUACUUUGAUGUUUUAGUUGAUUGAUCUUUGUUGUUACUAGAACUUUUUAUGGUGAGGGAUUGGAUUCUGAUUCAAAUUCAUGGAAGAAAAAAAUGGCAUCGGCUAUAAACAAGCAUAUAAAUCCAAUCACUAGGGUUAGUAACUAAUAACGAGGGGAUAUUGAAAAAAAAAAAAAGUUGUUUCUCCUAUGAUAAGAAUAUAAAGGAAUGUAAAGAACAUUUUUUGUAAAAUCUUGCCUACUAAUAAGUUUAUAUUGCAACACAAAAUGAAAAGGACAAUAUACAGAAUGGGUAAAAAGAAGUUGUGAUACUUGACUCGAUCAUGAUCCAAAAACACAGGGCACGGAGAUAAUAUAUACAUAUAUAUAUAUAUAUUAUAUAUAUAUAUUAUAUAUAUAAUAGUAGAAGAAUGCACCAAUUCUAGGGAUCCAUAGGAUUAAUUGCAGAUCCAACACAACAAUAAAAAAAAAGGGUUUACGAAGACCGACUUUAGACAGUGGUGAUAAGUCGUAUUUAGAUUGACUCAUUUAUUUUUGUAUCACUAACAAGCUAAUCGAUGCUUAAACUGAAAUAAAAUAUAAUACUAGAUCAACAGAAUAACACAUACUAUUGAUCAGAAAAAAUGUCAAAUUGUAUUCUAAUCGUGUACGCAUUGAAUCCUGUAUUUAUAUAGUGCUUGGAUUUGAUCGUUCCAUUUUGUAGUGUCACAUGUUGCCAUCUCAUAUGUUAAGGCAGAAAAAAAAGGGGUGUUCCCUUUUGUACAUUUUCAUAGUAUAGCUAUUUUUACUUCUAACACACGCUUUUUACUUUUCGGUCAUCUGAUCAAAUAAAUUAAAUAAAAUCAAUGACAAAAAAUUAACAAGAGAGUGAAAAUAAUCGUCCAUAUCGUGUUUGCGCCUAGUUUACAAAUUCUAAUUCAACGAGAAAGGAACUCUUUCUUCAUAUCUGCUCAAAAAUAAAAUGACCAAGUUGCCGUUUUCGUUAGUUUUGUGUGGUGUAAAGAAAACUCAGACCGACGUUUCCAACCACCACAUAAUAAUGUUGAAUACUGACAUGAGCAAUGAGAGAGGAACGGCAGAUGGGAAUUCUAGAUUUCGGAUGCUCCACGGGAACACGAGGAAGGAACUCUUUCUUCGUAAUAUAUCAAACCCAAAUUUCCUUCUUUUGUAGAAAAAGCUAUGAUUCACCUUAAAAUGAACUGAAAUUCAACAUGCAAUAUCUGAAUAGUUUUUUACGGGAAUGAGAGGAGUCGUUUUCAGGUAGGGGGAGGUCUAAUUCGCCGGUUAUCUGCAAGAAUUGCCUCGUCAGGGGUGCGCAGGCAAUCGGAGUCGGUGGGGGAGGAAAUUGAAUUCGAGGAUGAGUGACUCAAAACACUCAAAACAGCAACAAACAAUUAAAAAGACUCAAUUCUAGACCUAACAAGUGAUUUUUACGAAAAUAAGACUUAACUUGACUCAAAAGACUAAAAGAAAAAAAAUUAUGACUCAACUAACAAGACUUAAUGAAAGGAGGAUUGUUUUUUACGAAUUUAAAACUUAAAACAACGAAUCGAAGUCGGAGGAAGAGGUGGAGGAGGAAACUGGUUAGUGAGAUCCCACAUGUUAAAAGGGUCGUUUUCGUUUUUUUAACCAUACCGGCUUAAAAGGAAGGAGAAUAACAGUAAAAGAAGGGCAUUUUUUGUCUUUUUACCGGUAGUAUGGUAGACAUGAAAUAACAGAAACCAAGCGGAAACAAAAUUAGAACUACAUUGUGCUUAUGAAAAGUGAGCUAGUUCAUUAUGAGGUUUGGUUUAGAUUGAAAGUUUGCAAUUACUAGAGUUGACAAAAAUUUACAUUUCACACAUUGUCAACUUGGACCACACGAAAAAAAAGAAGAAGAAAACCCUCGUAAACAACUAUCACAGGGUGAUCCAAUAAUUGAGAACAAAUUUCAAGCUUGUAUUCCAUACAGCAUGUCUGAGUUCGAUUUCUGCCGCUCGUGAAUCGCACGAUGGUCGAUAGGGGAGGCUGAAAUGUCUAUGUGAGUUUUUUUAGCCUCCAAAAUGAUAAACUGUCGUGACGAAGUAACCAGUUGAUCCCUUUUAAAUAAAAAUAAUAAUUCUGUCACAUACCAUAGAUUGGGUGGCAGAUACCGUCUGGUUAACAUAUAUCAUAUGUUACUACGAUACUUAAUUUGGAGUCACUUGAUCCAUGUUGGAAAUUGGAAGAUCCCAAAAGCUAACCCCACCCGUAAUUAAAUCUGGCCCAUCCUCCCAAUAAUAUAGCAUAAAUAUGCCCUCCCAUACACGAAACAAGCACAACAAUUCUCAUCCUUUUCCACACAAACAAGCAGAGAAGAGCAGAAGAAACGGCAGCCAUGGGGAGCGAUUUCAACGGCAGCUCAGCUUCCUUCGUCAAGAUUCCCAUAAUAAAGUUUACCCAACUGUUCAUCAACGGAGAUUUCGUCGAUUCCGUUUCAGGUUUCUCGUCAUUUUUUCCUUCUUCUCGCAAGCAACGAGCUUUCAUUUACUAAACCGUUUCUUUACUGCCCGUUUUCAGCAUGCGUACGUACUGUUUCUGUUUCUUCCUCCACCAAAUUUGCAAACUCUCAACAUUCAAGAACCCGUCUACUUGUUAACUUGUUAAUGGCAUAUAUGAAGAUACAUAUACAUAAUUUAUAUAUGCAGAGCCAGCUCUGAGAUUUUACGUGUCCUGUGCCGAAAAUAACAAAUGAGCCUUGUUUACAAACUCUUGCUACAAAGCUAAUUUGUAUGUCUGUAUAAAGUAUUAUUACAAAUCAACAAAAAUCAAGAAAGAAAAAAAAAAGAGGAAAGCCGGCAAAACCAAACUAAAAACAUAAAAGUUAUUUUUGUACGCAUAUAUAGUUCAUAUUUCUCUUAUUCACAUGCAGAACCUAGAAAAUUUUCAAAACACAGUUUUUUUUUAUACAAACCAAAUUGGUACAUAUGUAGAUGAUAUCAUCUUUUAAGUUUUAAGGGCUAUUAAGAUUAAGGGUCCUUGCAAGGGUACUUAGGCCAUCUCCAACCGAUGGCUGCCCAUAUGACUCGUUUUAGCCCUCUGGCCCUCCAACCCUCCAACCCUCCAACAUAUUAAUAAUUUAAUGAACAGUACAUGACCAUAUUUGCCUCUGUCUCCAACCGAGGGUCAAAUGGCCAGAUGACUUGUUUUAGCCCUGUCACCAAAAACCGUCUCCAACCGAAAGUCAUAGGGCCAAACAUAAUUUAUUAUUUAAAUUUAAAAACUACAACAACUUAAAUUUAAAAACUACAACUUAUAUUUAAAAACUACAACUAAAAUUUAAAAAUGACAAAUUAAAUUAAAAAACUACAAAUUAAAUUUGAAAACAACAUUAACUUAAAUUUAAAAAUUUUGUGAGGAAUGGUGAAUGAAUGAUUUAGGUAUUGAUAGGGAAAAAAUAGAAUUUUUGAGAAUUAAAAAAAAAACCCCAAAAAACCUAAAAGAAAAAAGAAAAAAAAAUGAAUCUAACGGUAACUAGCGCCAGCUAGCCGUUGGAUUCAAAAUUCCUUUUAAGAAUUCAUGUCGGUUAUAACCGACAGGAAUAAUGUAUUUUUGUCGGUUAUUAAGCGGUUUUCUGGCCAGCCCCGGGCUAGCUGGCUGCUUGCAGCCAGCCCUCCAGCCCUCUCCGAUUCCGUGGGGCCCUCUCAGAUUUCACAUUUAGGUAUUGAUAGGGAAAAAAUAGAAUUUUUGAGAAUUAAAAAAAAAACCCAAAAAACCUAAAAGAAAAAAGAAAAAAAAAAUGAAUCCAACGGUAACUAGCGCCAGCUAGCCGUUGGAUUCAAAAUUCCUUUUAAGAAUUCAUGUCGGUUAUAACCGACAGGAAUAAUGUAUUUUUGUCGGUUGGAGACGAUUUUCAGACUAUUUUCAGCCCUCUGAACCAUUCGGUUGGAGAUGGCCUUAUUGCACACGUCUAGAACCGCCACUGUAUAUAUGAUUAAGUGACUCACCGACAUUUUUGCAUUUUUUUUUGUUUUUGGUUUGUGAAUAUUCGAAAGGUAAAACAUUCGAGACGAUAGAUCCAAGAACAGGGGAGGUGAUAGCCAGAGUUGCAGAAGGAGAUACGGAAGAUGUUGACUUGGCUGUCAAGGCGGCACGUGCUGCCUUCGACCAUGGCCCUUGGCCUCGCUUGCCCGGUGCUGUAUGUACUCUCCAACACUAUACUCUAGUAGCUACAUUCGAUUUUGAACACCGCUUGGUCAUUCCUUCUUGCCGGUAAAUUACAUUUUAAUGCGUGUGCAAAACAUAUCAAAUUAUUAUUUAAGCGUAAAAGAAUGACUACUUGCUCAUAAGAAGCCAAGUAUUUUCUGUUUUCUUUUCGUUUAAUACAUGUGAUUCUUGGGUUGUGAUACACAUUAUUUGUGGAGGUAGUGAUACGCAUCAAAUUGUUUCAUUAAAAGUCCAAAGUCAACUAGUCAUAAAAGAUAUGAAAGCAACAGCCUAACUUAAAAUUUUUGAGUCAGCAGUGGUGAGCAUCUAACCAAUGUAUUAAUUUUCGUUUGAUGGGAACAAAUUAAUGUUUUUAAAACAAAUCUCGAAACUUAAAUUCAUCUAAAACAAUUGAUGUCAGUAGCGAGCAAAAUAUUUUCAAAUUUUUUAAAGACCAUGCCCCUACAAUUUUAAAAUAUGUGAUCAACCUCCCACUAGUCACUAGGUGUGAUUUACCAAUGCUAGAAAUCGAAUCCAGUAAGAUAUAAUUCACCAGCGCUAUAAAUCAAAUUCAAAACGUGCGAGGGAAUAUGAACCUAGUAAUCGUUCUAAGCUAAUGAACCACCGUAGUGAUUGAAAAAGUCAUAGUUGAUAACUUUAUCCAGUCAAAAGGGUGGCAACCAUGGAAGAUAAAGUGCUAUUUUGUCAAUAAUAAAGUAAAUUUUUAGUCUAAAAGAUCUUCAUGUGAAAGAAACGACUAGAAUAAUAACGGUCGCUAUCAAAUUUUUAAUAAUAACUUUUAUAGCUAUCUUCAGUGUAUUGUUUGAUAAUAUAAUUGCCGUAGCUUAAGUAUAACUAAAUUCAUAUUAAUUAUUAUGGGGUGGUCCAGUGGUUGGAACACGCCCUUAGGUCUAUUCCUGAGGCUGUUGAAUCAGACGUUGGUGGCCAAAAAAAGACUGAAAUGUUUCUGUGAGUUUUUCUGGCUCCGAAAAAAAUGAUAUGUUUGCAGCCACCAAGUCUCCCCUUUUACAAAGUAACAAGAAAAAGUUGGUUUUCAUAAUAACUCAGCAACAAAGGAUAAAUUUUCUGCACAUAAAUUGGCUUAAUAUUUUUUGAAUGAAUGAUUAGUGUGCAAUUGACCCUGAAAUCCGUAUCGAUCAACGUGUUACGAAAGAUCUAAUUUGUUCACUGGCUUGAAUGUAAUGUUCAGGAGAGGGGAAGGAUAAUGAUGAAGCUUGCAGACUUAAUUGACCAACAUUUAGAAGAACUAGCUAUCUUGGAUACCGUUGAUGCCGGGAAGUUGUUCAGCUCUUGCAAGACCGUAGACAUACCGCAGGUAGCAGAAAUGGUACGUUAUUAUGCAGGUGCAGCUGACAAAAUCCAUGGAGAGGUGCUCAAAAUGUCGCGCGACCUUCAAGCAUAUACGUUGCUUGAACCCAUUGGAGUUGUGGGGCUCAUUGUUCCCUGGAAUUUCCCAAGCACCCUGCUUUUCGCAAAGGUUAGCCCUGCCUUAGCUGCUGGUUGCACCAUGGUCAUCAAACCUGCUGAGCAAACACCUCUAUCAGCAUUAUACUAUGCUCAUCUGGCUAAGUUGGUAAGCUCAUUCAUUCUCUGCGUUUGUUUGUGUUUAUUGCCAAUGUGGCUUGCCGUUGUUGACUCUCUCUUGUAAAUUCUUAUGAAGGCUGGUGUUCCUGAUGGAGUGUUCAAUGUCAUAACUGGAUUCGGAAAGACUGCUGGUGCUGCCAUCAGCCAUCAUAUGGACAUUGACAAAGUAAAUUCUCGUUCUUUCGUUCAAAUUUGAAUCCUUUAUGUGAAAAAUUGUUACGAAAUUCGAUGACAAUACUUGAGUGCCAUGUUGUGAUUUGUAAUGUUGAUGCUUGUUCUUGAUACCUUAGGUCAGUUUUACCGGUUCCACUGAGGUAGGGCGUGAAGUAAUGCAGGCUGCAGCAAAGAGCAAUCUGAAACAAGUUUCACUUGAACUAGGAGGCAAAUCACCCCUUGUGAUUUUUGAUGAUGCUGAUAUAAAUAUGGCUGCUGAUCUUGCUCUCUUGGGAAUCCUUUUCAACAAGGUGAAGUUCAUAAUUUCCGUUCAAUUUAAUUUUGAACUAGCACCUUGUUUAUGACUUGGAUGGAUUUAUGUAGCAGCACUGACCACGUGUUAGUCAUUCGCAUUUUCAGGGAGAAAUUUGCGUGGCAAGUUCCCGUGUUUAUGUUCAAGAAGGGAUUUAUGACGAAUUUGUGAAGAAGUUACAAGAGAAGGCGAAAGAUUGGGUAGUCGGGGAUCCUUUUGAUCCUAAUGUCCAUCAAGGACCACAGGUAACUGACUCUACCGCCAGCAACGGAGUUUUAUGAUUGAUCUAUGCCCUACAAUAUGCUCGCGAAUCCUGAGCUUAGCCCAAAUACAACCUACAAAUUUGCAUCCGUGACGUUCACUGGAAAUUGCAGGUUGAUAAGAAGCAGUUUGAUAAAAUCCUAACCUACAUUGAGCAUGGUAAGAAUGGAGGAGCCACUUUAUUAACAGGGGGCAAGCCUGUGGGGAACAAGGGAUAUUACAUUGAACCUACAGUAUUCACUGAUGUCAAGGUACAUUCACAAACUCCAACUUUAGCAAUGCAAAUGGAACAUCUAAUCCAUAGGGUCAUUUUCGUGUUCUUUUUCGUUAUAUCAUUCUCGUCUCAUUGAUCUUAUGACGAUUUUCUCAGGACGACAUGCUCAUAGCCCAAGAUGAAAUAUUUGGACCAGUAAUGGCGCUGAUGAAGUUCAAGUAAGUACAAGUAGUCUGAUUUCUUUUGUUUGAUUCGCGUUCAAGGCUUCAACACGAACAUUGUUUAAAAUUGCACGUUGAAUGUUGCAGGACAAUCGAGGAGGCGAUACAGAGAGCCAACAACACCAGAUACGGCCUAGCAGCAGGGAUCAUAACCAAUGACUUGAAUGUGGCCAACACUGUCUCUAGGUCAAUUCGUGCGGGCAUUAUUUGGAUCAACUGCUACUUUGAAUUCGAUCGAGACUGCCCUUACGGAGGGUAUAAGAUGAGUGGAUUUGGAAGAGACUCUGGUAUGCAGGGCCUGUAUGAGUAUCUCCAUACCAAAUCUGUUGUCACUCCCAUUUAUAGCUCCCCCUGGCUCUAAGUUACAAUAUAAUCUUACGGCUGCCAGAUUGUGACCUUGUAUUUGUGCAAUAAUAAUAUACCUAUAUAUAUCAGGUCCUAAAGAGAUCCCAUUUUUUCAAAAAAAUUUGUUGUGGGACCUAUUCCACAUCGAACUUCAACAAUCUAAACCGUUUAUUUUGUAAGUCUAGAUUGACAGAUCACCUAUGCAAAACUUCAAUUUAGUCCCAAACCAUUUGUCCAUUUAAUUGCCACGAUGAAAUUUCAAUUUUCUCCAAACAUAGUGUUCGUCAAUUUCUUUGAACUCAAUUAAAUGCCUCAAAUAUUUCCGAUUUGGCUAAUAUUUUGCAAGAAUGAUCUAUGAAGUGCAACUUAAAAAAUUAACAGUUCGAAUGGUUGAAGUUUGAUGCGAUGCCAGAUUGUGUCUUGUAAUUAUAUCGUUUUUAUUGAUAAAAAAUACAGAAGUUUGAGAUUCGGAUAUAGUAGUAGGUUGGUCGAUUAAGAAGGAAUGACUUAUCAUCAGGUUGGUCGUUAGUCCAAAGUUACAAACACCCAAAUCAAAUUCAACAUUCCAAAAUUCGUGAAUUUGUGAUCAGAAAGUUAUUAAUCUACACAUACUCGGUGGGCGGAGUGCUAGGAGGAGAGGGGGGGGGGGGCUUUAGGCUAGAGCCAUGUUAAAGGAAUUAGGCACAAUAUGAGUAAAGUGAGAAAAGUUCGAGGUUUUUGUUGUGUUAACAUGGAUAUUUAUUUGGUACGAUGAUAUUUUACAUUAAAAGUGAAAGAUUGAGUUAAGCUACAGUAAUUUAGCAUCGCACUCGCCAAUAAUGAGAGUUGAACUUAAAAUUACUUAUAAGUGGAGAACAAUACACGUUAUGUUAGUGAUCAUGUCAUGGAUUGUUGUGAAUAAUUAUAAACUACAGAGAAAUAACCCGUUUAGUGGGUUAGAUGAGAUUGAGCAUUAGGGAUAAAAUUGGAUUGGUAGGGACGUGUAAAAUAAUAUUUGUAACUCAUAUAUAAAGAUAUGUUAGAUAACUCACAUCGAGUUUUUAUUGCAUGAAAACAUCGAAUUAUAGUUUCAUUAUCAAUACAAGCGGAAUAGUCAAACUACGAGAGCAUUGGAGGUAGAUUGUCUGCCCUCUUGUUACCGUGCCCUUUCCAUCCUCUUCUAAUUGUGCGGUCAACAUUUCAUAUUCCUAUUGCUUUUUGUCUUAUUAUCUCUAUUAAAAAAUCAAUAUAAAAUGUUAACGUAGUUUAACCGUGACCGCACAAAUAGGAGGGGAUGGGAAGGGCACGGUAACAGGAGGGCAGACAAUCUGCCUGGCUAUUAAGUAAAACUUGUACACAUCAAUUAACGUAAUCAAAUCAGAUUUCAACAUCCAAAACUUUAACAACUAAUGGCACGCACACUGAUGCUGUCCAGUGCAGUCCCAAACCACUAUGCCUUGCUCAGCGGUUGAGUAAGCAAAAUCCGGUCCGAUAAGGAAAAAAUUUCGAGGUCUGUAUAGGUAAAUGCCCACUCCUUGUUGGAAAUUGGAAGAUCCCCGAAGCUGACCCGACCCCAUAACUAAUCAGACUCAUCUGCUAGUUUAAUUUUGCUCAUCACUGUGUUCGGAUUCAUUGAAAAAUUUCUCCUCUAUAAUAGUGGUGAUGUUCAUUAUUAUAUUUAUUAGGGUAAUUUUAUUUAAACUCAUCUAACCUAUUUCUACAUCCAAUUUAUUCUUUUCACCCAUUUAAUUUUUAACUAAACUAUUCAUAUCUCUUUAAACCCAAAUUUAAUACCUAAUAUACCCCUAUAAACCUAAUUCAGUAUGUAGAUUUAUUUUUACACCCAUUCAAUUUUUUAGUCAGAUGUAAGAUUGAAAUCGAAGAAGAAGACUAAGAAGGAGAAGGAGCUGCUGCUCCAUUUGUUAGCCAUCACUCCAUCAACGCCUCUUCUCCCCUGCUACAUCUUCCUGCCACCGUGAAUCUACCACUUGGCAGCCUCUAGAUCGUCAGACCCGCGGGGAGUCGAAUCGACCGGCACUCCGUCGUCAUCGUGCGGGGAUUUGGUUUCUUUGGACUCCUCGAUGGGUACCAUACACUUUGCGCGACCCUUUUAUACAGACCUCAUUUGUGAGCUUCUAUGCCGAGCUUGGUAAGUUGUGCGAUGCGCAUAAGGUGUUUGAGGAAAUGUCUGAACCAUGUGUGGUUGCGUGGAAUGCGAUGAUUGAUGGGGUUUGGGAAGAAUGGGGAAAUGGGUUAUGUUGUUUUGCUAUUUGAAAGCAUGCCGGAAAAGGACGUGGUUUCAUGGACAAGCGUUAUAAGCGGGUUUGGGAGAAAUGAGUGUGGUUGUGCUGUUUUGAGUCUCUUUGCUUCCGUAAAUUAUGUCUCUGGUUUCGGUCGGAAUGGGUGCUCUGGGAACGUUAUUUCUUCUGGCCUUUCUAUGCUAAUUUGGUUACACUUUGCUUCUUCUGUCUUUGGGGGCUCUGCAGCUCUUUUCAAGUUUAAGGUAAGGAAUUAUCAAUUAGUCAUGUGAAUGAUGGGCAAUGCUACAUUUUGUGUAUAAAAGCUAAAACAGGGUGAUAUAUGUAGUUAUCUAAUCGUUCUCUGAAAUUGUGUUGCAGCUGUAUUUCAGUCUUGUUGCUGUGUUCGUCCGUAUACUGUUUAUCAUGGUAAGUUCUCGUUAAUGCUUUAAGAGCAAAAUCCUCCUCUCGGUCUUGUUUUCUAUCAUAUUUAUGACUGUUGGUGCUUAGACCAUCUCCUCUUUUAUUUUAUAUUGUGAGAUGUUAUAUUUGUUAGGCUAAGUAGACCUGUUAACUAAAACGGCUAUCGUUUCUUUACCACAGUUGAAGAACUCGGCCGAGAAGAAUGAGAAUAAGAAGAAAAGAAAGGAUUGAUGCUCCUCCUGUAACCCUGGUGAUGCAAAGCAAUGCAAAAUGAGAUCAUCACUUGUCUAUUUAGAGUUUUCCAUGUGACCUCAAAAACAAAAUGUGUAGUUGAUGUAUUCCCUACUCUUUGGUGGGUGGUAGACUGAUAGUGAUUGUCUAGUGUUGCUACCGUUAAACUUCUACUUACUGUUUUGAAUGACAUCGUUUUAAUUCGUGACGAAGUUUAUUGUUGUGCUGUGUUAAUAAACUGGCUAGCUCCUCCAUCUGCACUACUUGUAGGUUGGAAUAGCAGGUUUCCAAGUAGCGAUUUUGAUACUUCCGGGUCCUUAUGGAACAAUUUUCGCCACGUCCAAUGAUUGAGCGUGGGCGUAGUAAAAAUCCAGAUUUUGCAUGGUCGCCUUUUUGUCUUAAUCUUUUCUUUUGGAGCAUUAAGUGAAGUGGUAUUUGGGUUCAUUAGCUCUUCAAUUUUCAUCUCGAGCUCUCUUUUCUUAUCUUCAUCUUGUUCUUCAUACCACAUAUUAAAUCUUUCUGCUCGUGACUUUUCCGGAGGAAUUAGUUGUUCACUACUAUUUGGCACAUUGAUAAAAUCUAAUUUUCUCCAAUGCGGAUGAAGAGAAUCAAGUGGGAUCGGCUUGCCAAGCCUUCUAUACUCUGCAAUCUCAUGUGCACACGGCAACUUAUGAGUUUGGCGAAUGGUGCAACCACAAGAUACAACAGUCACUCUUUCUUUUUCCAACCUGUUAUUAAAAGAAAUACAAUAUAAUUUAAGUUACCUUCAAAUACAAUAUGGUUUAAAAGGCUAAACAAUAAUAAUGUAAAUGCAAGACAAACCCAAACUACCUUUUGGACUCGCAGACAAUUAAGUUCAAGGCAUGGGUAGAAACAAAACCUACUAGUCGUUGCAACUUAGGUUUCUUGAAUUUGUGUUGAACAAAGUAUCAACUUUUUUUUCAAAAGAUGCUUUAACCUCUGUAUGAUGCAACUCCAACAAGGAGUGUAUAUGUACCCACGACGUCUCAAAGUUAAGUUGACUGGAGCGAAGUUGUCGCUUCAACUUUGCAUGUGCACUUUCUGCCCUGAUUAUAACAAUACAUGAGUAAGCAUAAACUAUAGAAUUGAAAAUACAAAAGCUAUAAAGUCUACGAUGCUCAACUGUUUAAAUAUUAUAUUCUAAUUUUUAUAUUUGUAAAAUUCACCCUCACUGUAACAUAGCCCAAAAUUGACCUCAAGUCUUGCCUAGUUUAGCCAUUUAUCCAUCAGUUGAAGUCACCGCGACAAUAAAUAUGAUAUAAUGACGUAAAAUUUAAAACUAAAAACCAAACAACAAUAAUAAAGUGAUGGGAAAACGGGACCCAGCAUCGUAAAAUGCAUCAUACAGAGUUAUGAAAAAGUAAGGAGAAAUAUACCUGUUUGAGGUUGUAGUACCAAGAUGCAUACAAUUAUCUAUCCAUGUGCCUAUGAACUUAUUUUUAUAUGGAAUUAACCAAUUGUUUCGUAUGUACUCAAGACCAUCAUCAUAAUUACUGAACUUAGAUUCCAUUUCUUGCAAAGAACGCUGAUACUCCUCUUAUGUUUCCAAACUCACAAGGCAAUUCCAAUCUCUAUUAAAUUUAUUCCACUGCUUGUUUGACUCAAACAUUUUCUUGCACUUUGACAACACAUUUUUGUUAAUAUGCCAUCUACACAAUAAAUGUUGCGAACCAGGAAAUACAGACUUGAUAGAAUUUAGGAGUGCUAAAUCUCGAUCGGUGGCAAUAACCCCAGGAAGACAAUAGCCAUGAAGCAAUGUCUUUAAUCUAGUCAGGGCCCAAAUGUAAUUGUCUUCUUUCCCAGCCUCUAUAUACACAAAAGCAACUGAGAAUGUCAUAUUAGUGGAUGUCACACCCACAAUUUGUAAGAGUGGAAAACGAUACCUGUUAGUCUUAUAUGUGCAAUCCAUGAUAAGUACAUGUGGGAAUGCUCGUAAUAUCUCAAUACUAAUAGGGUGAGCCCAUAAAAGGUCAAUCACAGUAUCACCACAACUUAUGUGCCACUCAACAUACUUGUGUUCUGACAACUUAUGAAGCAAUUGUUGCAUUUGUGUCCUCCCAGCAAAUUCUUUCAUCCUACCUCGAUGUCUAGCAUUAUAUAUUGUCCUUAUAGUUGAUACAUUUUGUGCAUCUCUGUCUUUGAUAGAGACCAAGAUAUCUUUGGGCCUCACCAAACUCUUAGACAUGUCCAUCAACAAUUCAUUCUCCUCUUUAGAAAGUCGCCCCACAAAAGAAUGUCCUUCAAGAUAUUCUAAAGUAGGAUGAUUAUGCUCUCCACAUACUACCUUCAAUGUCCAAUCGUCCUCAUCGCCAAUAUUCACACCUUUCAACAAGAAUGAACCUCCACAUUUUUUCGUACCAGAACUCCUAGAUUGUUUUUUUUGUGACCAAUCUCAUCUGACCUUUGACCAUAUGCUACAACACACUUGUAUGACGAAUAUGUACCGUUUCUUUCACAAGCAAGUGUUAGUCGACGGCGACUCACAGUCUUACCUUCACCUCCUAAAUUAGACCUUUUAAUAACAAUUACCAUAUUAUCCAGCUUUCCAUGUUGACGAACCCAUGUAAUCAAUGCAUCUUUUCCUUUGAAUAUCUGCACGUAACACAUAUUUUAUUUCGAAGUAAAAUUCUAAAAUUAACUAACACGUCAACGACACUAUAAAUAUAUAAUUACCUCAUAAGUUGUAAAUUGAUCAGUAUAAUCCACCACACAUUCUUGUCCAACCUCAUUGCCUCGAUCAGAGGCAUCAUUGAAUUCUUGUUGCUAAAAAAUAAACGACAAAAUUAUGAUUACAAUAAAAAAUCUUCAAGUUAUGAUUAAAACAAAUGGACAAAUAUAGCUAACUGUAGCAAUGUUUUCAUAUUACUGACUAAAAACACAUCAAGCCCCAUUUUAUAGUAAACAACAGACAACUUAAACUACCUUUCGAUUUCCUCUUACACAACAAAUGGAGUUUGGAAUAUGUAGGACCAACAAUAACUUUCAUAUUGGGAGGGAGAGGGAGACCCCCGAAAAAUACAAUCAGAGAUUAUCCUUGCUUUCUGACUUAUAGUAAUCAGGUUUAUAGGGACAAGGCUCACCUAGAUCCCGACAUGUAUCCCUCAAAGUUAGUAAAACUAAAGAUGGCAAUGGAUAUUUUGUAAUCCAAUAAUUGCUUAGUGCAGAGAUUUUCCAGUGCAGGAAACAAUGUUGGAAACUUUGAGUCGAUAAAUCAUUUGCUUCUAAAAUGUUUUAGUCCUUGGGAAAUCGAAAAAUAAACCCCCAAAAGAAUCAGCAAGACUGCAGAAUCAAGGUUCAAGAUUUUUCUUGAAAAACAUCCCUUCACAUCAGUGGCAAUUCAAUGGGAAAGUCCAGACUUCCUCAACUCGAAAAAUCUUCCAUAAAGCAAAAAAUUAUAAGCUCAUGAAGGACUCACCACCCAACCCAACAUGCCUGAAAGAUAUACACAUGCGGAACCAGAAACCUUAAAGACAUCAUUCAAUUCGACAAGUUCUAAACUUUAAAAAAUUGAAAUCAAACGAACAAAAAAUUCAUAAAUUGAGUCAUACCUUGGUUGGAGGGUUCAAAACUUCAAAAUCACCAUCCAUCAAUAGAAAAAUUUAUUUUUCUCUAUGAGAGCUAUUAGGGUUUUAGCAGAAUGAACGUAUGAUAAACAAAGAAUGAUCGUAGAGUUUAAUUAUAGUGUUUGGGUUUAUUGAUAAAUUUGAGUUUUAUUAUUAAUUUCAUUUUGUACUUAAUAGUAAUUAUGCAAUAGGGUAAAAUAGACAAUUAACAUUCAAAAUUUUAAGUUGGGUGUAAAAAAAGGUUGCAUGGGUUUAAAUAAAAUUUUCCUAUUUAUUAUCAUUCGAUUAUUUAAGUUUUGAGAUUUGUGUAAUAAAUAGACUAAAUCAAACUAUUCCACAUUAAUCGAUAGAGUUAUAAGUAGGGGUGUGAUAUUCACACAUCAUUUUAAUUUUCGACCGUCGGAUCAAAUGAAUUGAAGAAGAUCAAGGGAUAUAAAUCAACAAAAUGUGUGUGAGAAGUAAAAAGAGGUAUGUGGAUACUGGAUAGCACACCCUAUAAAUAUCAUCCUCACCUAUGGAGACUGGACAAAAAUAAUUUCUCAUCCUCCCAACACUAGCUGUACGCACAAAUAUUUUUUUCGUACUCUUUUUAAUUUGCAACUGACACGUCGAAUGAAUUUAAAAAAUCAAUACCAAAAAAUUAACAAAAAUGUAUGAAAAGUUAAAAAAAAAAAAAUUUAACGAAAAGCCCGCGGUAGUGUUCAUUUUAACGAAAAACCAUAUUUUUAUACUAAAAAGUCAAUCAUGUACUAUUUACUUUACCAUUUAUUUUGUCCUUAUCGUUAAAAUUCAAAGUUUUCAAACCAUUUUCAUUAUUUUACUUUAAAAAAAAAAAAGUGUGUGACUAAAACUGUACAAAUAUUCCCUCUCAGAUUCCAUACGGUAAGCAAACAAACACAACACAACAAAAUCUCUUUUUUUCCACACAAACAAACAGAGCAAAACGCAGAGAAGAGCAGAGGAAACGGCAACCAUGGGGAGUGAUUUCAACGGCAGCUCAGCUUCCUUCGUCAAGAUUCCGGCAAUAAAGUUUACUCAGCUGUUCAUUAAUGGAGGUUUCGUCGAUUCCGUUUCUGGUUUGUCGCCUUUGAUUCCCUUCUUCUCGAAAUCUACGAGCUUUCAUUUAGUAAAAAGCGUUUCUUUACUGCCCGUUUUCACCAUGACUACGUACUGUUUGUGUUUUUGCCUCAACCAAAUUUGCAAACUCUCAAAAUUCAAGAACCCAUUAUUUUUUAAGCUUGUAAAUGCCAUAUAUAUAAGGAUAUAUACAUAUACAUAUGAUUAAGUGACUCACUGACAUUUUUGCAAUUUUUUGUUUUUGGUUUGUGAACCCCGAUCAAAUUUGGAAGGUAAAACAUUUGAGACAAUAGAUCCAAGAACAGGGGAGGCGAUAACAAGAGUUGCAGAAGGAGAUAAGGAAGAUGUUGACUUGGCUGUCAAGGCGGCGCGUGCUGCCUUCGACCAUGGCACUUGGCCUCGCUUGCCUGGCGCCGUAUGUAACUCUCCAACGCUCUAGUCUUGUAGCUACAUUCAUUUUUGAACAUCGCUCGGUCAUUCUUACUUACCUGUAAAUCACAUCUUGAUACGUAUGCAAGACAUUCAUUUUUGAACAUCGCUCGGUCAUUCUGCACAUAACUUGGCUUAAUAUUUUUUGAAUAAAUGAUUAGUGUGCAAUUGACCCUGAAAUCCGUAUCGAUCAACGUGUUACGAAAGAUCUAAUUUGUUCACUGGCUUGAAUGUAAUGUUCAGGAGAGGGGAAGGAUAAUGAUGAAGCUUGCAGACUUAAUUGACCAACAUUUAGAAGAACUAGCUAUCUUGGAUACCGUUGAUGCCGGGAAGUUGUUCAGCUCUUGCAAGACCAUGGACAUACCGUUUGUAGUAGAAACGCUACGUUAUUAUGCAGGUGCAGCUGACAAAAUCCAUGGAGAGGUGCUCAAGAUGUCGCGCAACCUUCAAGCGUAUACAUUGCUUGAACCCAUUGGUGUUGUGGGGCUCAUUGUCCCCUGGAAUUUCCCGAGCGCCCUGCUUUUCACAAAGGUCAGCCCUGCCUUAGCUGCUGGUUGCACCAUGGUCACCAAACCUGCUGAGCAAACACCUCUAUCUGCAUUAUACUGUGCUCAUCUGGCUAAGUUGGUAAGCUCAUUCAUUCUAUGCGUUUGUUUGUGUUUAUUGCCAAAGUGGCUCGCCGUUGUUGACUCUCUCUUGUAAAUUCUUAUGAAGGCUGGUGUUCCUGACGGAGUGUUCAAUGUCAUAACUGGAUUUGGAAAGACUGCUGGUGCUGCCGUCAGCCAUCAUAUGGACAUUGACAAAGUAAAUUCUCGUUCUUUCGUUCAAAUUUGAAUCCUUUAUGUGAAAAAUUGUUACGCAAUUCGAUGACAAUACUUGAAUGCCUUGUUGUGAUUGUAAUGUUGACGCUUGUUCUUGAUAUAUUAGGUCAGUUUUACUGGUUCCACUGAGGUUGGGCGUGAAGUAAUGCAGGCUGCAGCAAAGAGCAAUCUGAAACAAGUUUCACUUGAACUAGGAGGCAAAUCACCCCUUGUGAUUUUUGAUGAUGCUGAUAUAAAUAUGGCUGCUGAUCUUGCUCUCUUGGGAAUCCUUUUCAACAAGGUGAAGUUCAUAAUUUCCGUUCAAUUUAAUUUUAAACUAGCGAUGACUUGGAUCGGUUUAUGUAGCAGCUUCUUGUUUAUGACUUGGAUAGAUUUAUGUAGCAGCACUGACCACAUGUUAGUCAUUCGCAAUUUCAGGGAGAAAUUUGUGUGGCAAGUUCCCGUGUUUAUGUUCAAGAAGGGAUUUAUGAUGAAUUUGUGAAGAAGUUACAAGAGAAGGUGAAAGAUUGGGUAGUCGGGGAUCCUUUUGAUCCUAGUGUCCAUCAAGGACCACAGGUAACUGACUCUACCGCCAGCAACGGAGUUUUAUGAUUGAUCUAUGCCCUACAAUAUGCUUGCAAAUCCUGACCUUAGCCCAAAUACAACCUACAAAUUUGCAUCCGUGAGACGUUCACUGGAAAUUGCAGGUUGAUAAGAAGCAGUUUGAUAAAAUCCUAACCUACAUUGAGCAUGGUAAGAAUGGAGGAGCCACUUUAUUAACAGGGGGCAAGCCUGUGGGGAACAAGGGAUAUUACAUUGAACCUACAAUAUUCACUGAUGUCAAGGUACAUUCACAAACUCCAACUUUAGCAAUGCAAAUGGAACAUCUAAUCCAUAGGGUUAUUUUCGUGUUCUUUUUCGUUAUAUCAUUCUCGUCUCAUUGAUCUUAUGACGAUUUUCUCAGGAUGACAUGCUUAUAGCCCAAGAUGAAAUAUUUGGACCAGUAAUGGCUUUGAUGAAGUUCAAGUAAGUACCAAGUAAUCUGAUUUCUUUUGUUUGAUUCGUGUUCAAGGCUUCAACACAAACAUUAUUUAAAAUUGCACGUUGAAAUGUUGCAGGACAAUCGAGGAGGCGAUACAGAGAGCCAACAACACCAGAUACGGCCUAGCAGCAGGGAUCAUAACCAAUGACUUGAAUGUGGCCAACACUGUCUCAAGGUCAAUUCGUGCAGGCAUUAUUUGGAUCAACUGCUACUUUGAAUGCGAUCGAGACUGCCCUGGUGGAGGGUAUAAGAUGAGUGGAUUUGGAAGAGAAUCUGGUAUGCAGGGCCUCUAUGAGUAUCUCCAUACCAAAUCUGUUGUCACUCCCAUUUAUAACUCCCCCUGGCUCUAAGUUACAAUAUAAUCUCACGGCUGCCAGAUUGUGACCUUGUAUUUGUGCGAUAAUAAUAGUUUCGUUGGAGGGCGGGCUGGCUGGUUGGAAAUUGCCUGAUUUGGGCCCAGUGGGACCCACAAGCCCUUAGACUUAGUUCUUGGUUGGAGACGAUUUUCGUGUUAUUCUGAGCUAUUUUUAGCUCUAUAGUCUUUUAGUCAGGUCGAUUGGAGAUUACCUAACUGCCCAAGACAAGGACUUGUUUGGAAUGAGAGCCUACAUCGAAUUUUUAUCGCAUAAAAACAUUGAAUUAUAGUUUCGUUGUCAAUACGAGCGGAAUAGUCAAACUACGAGAGCAUUGGUAAAUGCCCACGCCUUGUUGGAAAUUGGAAGAUCCCCGAAGCUGACCCCACCCCAUAACUAAUCAGACUCAUCUGCUAGGGUAAUUUUGCUCACCACUUUAGUGUUCCGGAUCCAUUGAAAAAUUUCUCUUCUAAGAUGAAGAUAAUGCUCAUUACUAUAUUUAUUAUCAUUCGAUUAUUUAAAUUUUGAGAUUUGUAUAAUAAAUAGAUUAAAUCUAGAGAGUUUUAACGAAAAGUCCACAGUACUGUUUACUUUAACGAAAAAUCAUAUUUUUACACUAAAAAGUCAAACCUGUUACUAUUCAUUUUAACUUUUAUUUUAUUUUUAUCGUUAAAACUCAAAGUUUUCAAGCCAUUAUCAUUAGUUUUCCUUUAAAUCAAAUUCAUCCACAGUAAUCGAUAGAAUUAUAAGUAUCAUCAUCACUUAAGGAGAUUGAACAAAAAUAAUUUAUCAUCCUCAAUAAUAGCUGUCCACACAAUCAUUUUUACUUCUCACGUGCUCCUUUCAAAUUCCGACUGUUAGAUCGAAUGAAUUAAAAAAAAUCAAUAACAAAAAAAUGUAUAUAAAAAAAGGAUGUGAAUAAGACCGUACAAAUAUUCCCUCUCAGAUAGAGACCAUACACGAAGCAAGCACAACAUAACACAACAAAAUACCGUUCUUUGUUUUUUUUUUCCACACAAACAAACAGAGGAAACGGCAGCCAUGGGGAGUGAUUUCAACGGCAGCUCAACUUCCUUCGUCAAGAUUCCAGCAAUAAAGUUUACUCAGCUGUUCAUCAAUGGAGGUUUCGUCGAUUCCGUUUCAGGUUAGUCGCCAUUGUUUCCCUUCUUCUAGCAAUCUACGAGCUUCCAUUUGGUAAAAAGCGUUCUUUACUGCCCGUUUUCACCGUGACUACGUACUGUUUGUGUUUUUGCCUCAACCAAAUUUGCAAACUCUCAAAAUUCAAGAACCCAUUAUUUUUUAAGCUUGUAAAUGCCAUAUAUAUGAAGAUAUAUACAUAUAUACAUAUGAUUAAGUGACUCACUGAUAUUUUUGCAAUUUUUUUGUUUUUGGUUUGUGAACACCGAUCAAAUUUGGAAGGCAAAACAUUUGAGACAAUAGAUCCAAGAACAGGGGAGGUGAUAACAAGAGUUGCAGAAGGAGAUAAGGAAGAUGUUGACUUGGCUGUCAAGGCGGCGCGUGCUGCCUUCGACCAUGGCACUUGGCCUCGCUUGCCUGGCGCCGUAUGUAACUCUCCAACACUCUACUCUUGUAAUUCAUUUUUGAACAUCACUCGGUCAUUCUUACUUACCUGUAAAUCACAUCUUGAUACGUAUGCAAGACAUUUUGAUACGCGGACUAAUAAUGGUCUUUAAUAAUUUUCUAAUAAUAAUUUUCAUAGCUAUCUUUGGUGUACUAUUUGAUAAGAUUAUUCCGUUGACUUAAGUGUAAGUAAAUUUUUUAAGGUCAAACUCAAGUACUUCACUCACGAAAACUUAAAUUAUGUAUGACAACAAAAAGUUAAUCGUAAAAUACAAUCCAAAAUCCAGAUAUGAAAAGGAUGGAAAAUUUUGAAAGGGUCAGUUCCCAACGGAGCCAGUAUUAUAGCUUGUUGACAUUUUAGUACUAAUUCAACUUAGUGUGGAAUUAACCCUGAAAUCCGUAUCAAUCAAUGUGUUACAAAAGGUCUAAUUUGUUUACUGCCUUGAAUGUAAUUAUGCUCAGGGGAGGGGAAGGAUAAUGAUGAAGUUUGCAGACUUAAUUGACCAACAUGUAGAAGAACUAGCUACCUUGGAUACCAUUGACGCUGGGAAGUUGUUCAGUUUUGGCAAGACCAGAGACAUACCGCAGGUAGCAGAAAUGGUACGUUAUUAUGCAGGUGCGGCUGACAAAAUCCAUGGAGAGGUGCUCAAAAUGUCACGCGACCUUCAAGCAUAUACGUUGCUUGAACCCAUUGGUGUUGUGGGGCUCAUUGUUCCCUGGAAUUUCCCGAGCACCCUGCUUUUCGCAAAGGUCAGCCCUGCGUUAUCUGCUGGUUGCACCAUGGUCAUCAAACCUGCUGAGCAAACACCUCUAUCAGCAUUAUACUAUGCUCAUCUGGCUAAGUUGGUAAGCUCAUUCAUUCUCUGCGUUUGUUUGUGUUUAUUGCCAAUAUGAUUGGCGUUGUUGACUUUCUCUUGUAAAUUCUUAUGAAGGCUGGUGUUCCUGACGGAGUGUUCAAUGUCAUAACUGGAUUCGGAAAGACUGCUGGUGCUGCCAUCAGCCAUCAUAUGGACAUUGACAAAGUAAAUUCUUGUUCUUUCGUUCAUAUGUUGUAUACUUUAUGUGAACAAUUGUUACGAAAUUCGAUGACAAUACUUCAAUGUCUUGCUGUGAUUUGUAAUGUUGACGCUUGUUCUUGAUAUAUUAGGUCAGUUUUACUGGUUCCACCGAGGUAGGCCGUGAAGUAAUGCAGGCUGCAGCAAAGAGCAAUCUGAAACAAGUUUCGCUUGAACUAGGAGGCAAAUCACCCCUUGUGAUUUUUGAUGAUGCUGAUAUAAAUAUGGCUGCUGAUCUUGCUCUCUUGGGAAUCCUUUUCAACAAGGUGAAGUUCGUAAUUUCCAUUCAAUUUAGUUUUAAACUAGCACCUUGUUUAUGACUUGGAUAGAUUUAUGUAGCAGCACUGAGCAUGUGUUAAUCAUUGCAUUUUCAGGGAGAAAUUUGUGUGGCAAGUUCCCGUGUUUAUGUUCAAGAAGGGAUUUAUGAUGAAUUUGUGAAGAAGUUACAAGAGAAGGCAAAAGAUUGGGUAGUCGGGGAUCCUUUUGACCCUAAUGUUCGUCAAGGACCACAGGUAACUGACUCUACAGACAAAGUUUUAUGAUUCAUCUAUGCCCGACAAUAUGCUCGCGAAUUGCUGUGCUUGUCCAAAUACAACCUACAAAUUCGUAUCUGUGAAGUUCACUGAAAAUUGCAGGUUGAUAAGAAGCAGUUUGAUAAAAUCCUAACCUACAUUGAGCAUGGGAAGAAUGAAGGAGCCACUUUAUUAACUGGAGGCAAGCCCUUGGGGAACAAGGGAUAUUACAUUGAGCCUACAAUUUUCACUGAUGUCAAGGUACUUUCACAAAUUCGAACUCUAUCAAUGCAAAUGGAACAUCAAAUCCAUAUGACUAUUUUCACGUUCUUUUUCGUUAUAUCAUUCUCAUCUCAUUAAUCUUAUGACGAUUUUCUCAGGAUGAUAUGCUCAUAACCCAAGAUGAAAUAUUUGGACCCGUAAUGGCGCUGAUGAAGUUCAAGUAAGUAGGACAAGUCUGAUUUCUUUUGUUUGAUCCGCCUUCAAGGCAUCAAAACGAACAUUGCUUAAAAUCAUGGCGUGUGAAAAUGUUGUAGGACAAUCGAGGAGACAAUACAGAGAGCCAACAACACCAGAUACGGCCUAGCAGCAGGGAUCAUAACCAAGGACUUGAAUGUGGCCAACACCGUCUCAAGGUCAAUUCGUGCAGGCAUUAUUUGGAUCAACUGCUACUUUGCAUUCGAUCGAGACUGCCCUUACGGAGGGUAUAAGAUGAGUGGAUUUGGAAGAGACUUUGGUAUGCAGGCCCUCUAUAAAUAUCUCCAUACCAAAUCUGUUGUCACUCCCAUUUAUAACUCCCCCUGGCUCUAAGUUAUGAUCGAAUCUUACGGCUGCCAGAUUGUGACCUUGUAUUUGUGCAAUAAUAAAACACCUAUUUUUGGGUGAGAAGUUUCCAAUUGUAUCAGGUAAUCAUAUGAAAAAUAUACAGAAGUUUGAGCUUGACAUAUAGCUCUUCACCCUAACACCCCCCUCCCCCCAACAUGUCCAACUUCCUUACCAUCAAACUCGAUCACACAAUGUGCCACUAUGGCAGGUGCAGACUCUAGCAGUAUCAGUGAGAUUGCCUUCGUCAUCCUUUAGCUAUUAAUUCAGGACAUGACCAUAGCAUCAUGUUGAAUCCAAGCCCCAAAGCCAGCUAACAGUAUCAGAUAGAUUGCCUUCGUCAUCCUUAAGCUAUGAAAUAUGGAUAUGGAUACGGGAACGGCGAUAUGACACGAUACGACAUAGCGAUACGGCAAAUCUCUAGAAAUUAAGAUACGAUACGCUAUAGAUACGACAAAUAAAAAUGUAUAUAGCAACAAAAAUAUACAUUUAAAACAUAAUUUAUCAUUCAAAUUCAAGUACAUUUGAGUCGUUAGAGAAGAAAUUUCGAAAUCUAAUCCUCUUUAAACUAUAGAAGAAGUGUGAGUCAUAUUCAUGGUUUUAAUUAGAGGGAAGCUCUUUGUAUUCAGCAACUUUUAAUUAUGUCUCCUAUUAAUUUUCUCCUCCUCGUUACCAUUUUUGAAAGUGUAAAUGUAUCAUAAAGCUAGAUAUGUGUAUCCUAAAUGUAGGAUACGCGUAUCUAUCAUGUCAAAUUCAUGUCCACCAACCAGGAUAUGUGACGGACGAGUAUCUGAAAAUAUCGAAUAAGUAUUCGAUCAAGUAUCGGAUACGGGACACGGGACCAUGCAUCACAGUCCUUAAGUAAGGCUUGGGGACGCUUGCUGAUUCCAUCGAAAAAGAGGACGAGAUUCCUGCUACGAAGCAAAAGGGAAGCAUCUGUGCCUGCUUUAGUGGGUAAUUGGUGCGGUCGAGUGAGACUUCUAGCUCAUAGAAGAAUGCAAACUCUUCCUCAGAAUUCAUACAAAAAUCCCACACAACCCGAAUAAUCCACCCCAAAUUGCUAAUUGGUAGCAUAAAUUAAUGAGUUCAUAAGAUCAAUUUUAUGAAAUUGGGGAAAUUCGGGGCCAGAAAUUGUUGAUCAGAUCAAACGGUAACAACAAAAACCAUAAUAUUAAAGGAAAACUAAUAAAAAUGAUUUCAAAAUUUUGAGAUUUAACGAUAAGAACAAAAUAAAGGGUAAAGUAAAUAAUACCAUGAUUGAUUUUUUAAUGUAAAAAUAUAAUUUGUCGUUAAAGUGAAUAGUAUUGAGAAUUUUGUUCCGUAAUAUUAUGCCAUCGAAAACAUCAAAUUCCAUUAAUUUCAUGAAACCCAUUGGCGGGUUUAGCCUACUACAUAUCUUUUGCAUCUUUGUACAUCCCUAACAGUUUUGAUCACCGCACCCAGAUCUUAAAUCUCGGCACCACCCCAAACAAACCCAUAUACACACGCACCCAUGCAACAGACAACAUUAUUUUCCUGACACAAACCAACACUACAACGCCGUUGUUUUAACAUUCAACGAACAGGACUUCUUCUAUUUUCCAACUUUGCCCCUGAGCUUGACUCCCAGAACCCUCUCCAUCUUCGCCAGCACCGCCUGGUUUGGCACCGCCUUCCCGUUCUCGUACUCCUGCACCACCUGUUGCCGCUCGUUCAUCCGCUUCGCAAGCUCCGCCUGGCUCAUCUUCUUCUCCAGCCGCGCCUUCUGUAUCGCCUGUCGCACCUCCGUCGAGACCCGCUCCAGCGCCGCCGGCUCGGCCGCCUCAUCGAGCUUCUUAACGCUGACCACCGGCGCCGCCUUCUUGUUCGAGCCCCCGUCGAAUUUCUUGAUGGUCUGGACCGGCUCGCCCGACCGCAUCGCCUGGUUCACCACCUUCGGGUCGCGGAGGGCACGGGCAAUAUUGGGCUUCUUCUGGAGGAGCACCACCUCCCAGUCCUGGCCUAUGACUCUUAGUUUUCGGCUCGGCAUCGUCGGAAAUCUAGAGAGAGAGAGAUUUUUUAAGGUUUACCGGAUUUUUGUAUCGUGGUUUUUAAUGGAGAAGAUGAUCGGGGACGGUGAAGUUUGGUGCCCAAUAUAUAGUGGGGCGAGAAUCUGGAAAGUGAAGUUUGGUGCGCAAUUUACAGUGGGGGCGAGAAUCUGGAAAGUUAGGUUCUUUUUUGGAUAGUUUUAUCUACGGAAAAUGAAAAUUCGCGGGGGCGGUUAAAGUGUAACCGGUUUUUCUUAUCCGGUUGUCCUUCCCCGCGUAACGUUCCGUUGCUUGAAAACGUGGCUGUGUGCUAUUGGUGCUUGGGUGGAAGGUUUCUUACUUCGUCGUAUGAGAGAGGAGUCCAUUACUUAACAAGUAUGUGUCGUUUUUCUUUUCUUUUUUUUUUUUUAAAAAAAAAAAAGGGACCAACUAGUAGCUUCGCUACUGCAGUUACAUGCCCGAUCCAGAUAUCCUCCAAACAUUAGGGUAGGCAUGUGCUGGCCGACAUUCGAGGACGACGAAGUCAUAUUAACAUGCAUGUAAGUUAUGAAGAAAGAACGAACGUAAAUAAAACAUGUAAAAUUAACUACAAUGAAUAUGCAAAUGUAGGAACGUAUUUAGAACAUACUACUAAUCAAGAAUAGUGUAGAAUGAAUAUUAUGAAAAGGUACAAACAAAUGAAUGGAUCCUACACCGAGAGGACUCGAAGAUACUAAUGCGAGAGUGUCUUGACGCUGGGAUUGUACGUCUCGAUUCUAAGUGAAGGGGGCGCAAAACAAAGCAUGAGUGGACCAAGUUUAUAUAUAAGUAAUACUAAAAUCAACUACUCUUCAAACUUACUAACCCCUAGUUUUAGAAACUCAUAUAGCAUAAUAAAUGAUAGGUUUUCCGAAAAUCCUAGCAUGUCAUAAAAAACUUCAUAAAACAUAUAUCGUAUCUAGUGUGCUUAGUAGUGGUAUCACAAUCGCCCAAAUGCCCUACAUCGCACGCUCGAAGGCAUCUAUAUCUUCUGCCUAAAGGCAUAUAUAAAUGUUCCGCCCGAAGGCAUAUAUAAAUGAAUAUCCACUAAGUCAGCAUAAAAAAUCAUGAACAUAAUAUUUCCAAAAUAUAUUUCAUUAGAGCUCAAUAGCUCAAACAUCAUAUCAUAAAAUAAUAUUCAUAAAUAUCUCAGUAACGUAAAUUCGAUAAAGCAUGAUAUUUUAUAAAACAUAAAUUCGAUAACUUAUAAACGUUUCAUAAUACAUAGUCAUAAAAUCAUAGUUUUCAUGUAUGCAUUUUUAGUAAUUAAAUCAUGCAUUUUGGAAGGGGUCCACUCACUGAUACUCCGUCACUGAAGAGCCAUUUGAACAAGGGAGAACGAAAUCGCCACUAAUAAAAGCGCCUAAGCACAUAAAGGGACCAAUUAGUAAAAACCUGCUAAAAUGAUUGAAUUUGGGAAAACGGAGCGCGGAAGGGCGUCGAAAUACCCUAAGAAGAGUCCCAGGUAAAUUUCGUAAAAGUCAACGAAAAGUCAACAAGAAUAUUUCAGAGAGUAUUCCAAAGAAUAUUCCAUUGGGUUCGGAUUGGGUCAGAUCUGGGUUCAAGGUAGUUAGGUCAGGUCGACCCGGUUUAAAGGCUAUGGAUAAGCCGAAAACUAGGCAGGGGUUCUUGAGCUCCAUUCGAGCUCAUUUUUUCACCAUUUUCGACCAAAGAGCUAUGAAAAUGAAGCUUGGAAUGAGGAGAAGAGGUUCGUACCAAUUUAGAGCUGGGUUGUAGCUGGAGUUGGCUAGAAAAUGGCCUGCAACUCACUGCAUCCUUCGCCGAAAACUGGGCUCGUUACCCCGAGCUAUUUCUGCGUCUAACAUGCGAAAACAACGGCCCCAAACUUUAUUAACGGAGGCAAGCCUUUGGGGUACAAGGGAUAUUACAUUGAGCCUACAAUAUUCAUUGAUGUCAAGGUACGUUCACAAAUUCAACUCUAUCAAUACAAAUGGAACAUCAAAUCCAUACCACUUGUUGAUGCACAAAAUCCGGAGGAUCUUAGACCAACGUAAAUUCGGCCGAGUUAUGAGGGUGAGGGGGAGUCCUUUUUUUAUAAAAUAAGGGCUCCCUCCCCUUUUACAUUUGUCAUGGGCUUAGGAGUGAGGCCCAAAGACAAGGCCCAAUAUAUAUUACCAACAAGAGUCCAUCAAGUCUUCAGUCAAGAGAGUCUUUUGGCUGGAGACUUCAAAUCCAAUCCAUGUACGGGCCGAAGUGGUUAAAUGUCUUGAACCAGUACUCAACCCAAGGAAAUGCUCAACAUAAAGUAAUACUCGGCUAGAGGUAUCACACAUUACGAGACUGCUCGGCUGGAGGCGAUGCUCGUUGCGAGGCUGCUCGGCUAAAAGCUAUGCUCGCGGCAAGAUGGUUGCUCGGCUAGAGGCGAUGCUCUUUGCGAGGCUGCUCGGCUAGAGACUAUGCUCGCUGCGAGGCGGCUCGGCUCGUGGUAUUCCUCAUUGCAAGUAUCUACUUUAUGUCGACAUGCACUCAGUAUGAGUUUAUUCUUAACAUGACUCAGGUCCGCUUGUCAGGUUCGCAUAUUGGAUUCUUUUAAUCAUCAAUAAUGUUGAUCAAUGGAUCUAGUUGCUUAAUAAUUCUUGACAAUAAAUGACAGUAUAAGUGUGACUGUAUAAAUCAAAUUGACAAAGUUUGUCAAGGCAAAGUAUUGUACUGUAUGCCUUAUGUGAAUAAAUGAUUUAUUCUGUUGUGUGAUAAAUGACAUGUUACAUAAAUCAACAAUAUAUUAGGUAUUGCCUAAAUGUGUGUGUGUGUAUAUAUAUAUAUAUAUAAUCAUGAAUAAAUGAUUUAUUCAGUUGUUUGAUAAAUGACAUGUUGUAUAAAUCAAUAAUGUUGAUGCACAAAAUCAAUGAGGACUUUGGUACAACAAAAAGUGUUAAGUUUGUGACCUUAGCUAGAUUGCUCCGGUCAUUAGUGUGGAUAAAUAUGUAAAUGGAUAGAGACAGGGAAGCAAACACAAGAUGUACGUGGUUCACCUAGAUUGGCUACGUCCACGGAGUAGAGAAGUUCUCAUUAAUUGUGAAGGGUUUACACAAGUACAUAGGUUCAAGCUCUCAUUUUGUGAGUACUAGUGAAUGAUUUAGUACAAAUGACAUUCGGAAAUAUUGUGGGAGAAUGAUCUCCUUUUAUAGAAGAGAGUUUCUAGCUUUGUUUUGACAUUGACACAUGUCGUGUUGUGAUUGGCUUCUGAUGUUGACACAUGUCGCGCUAUGAUUGGCUUCUGAUGUCAACACGUGUCGCGCUGUGAUUGGCCUCCUGGUUGAAGGGAAACUCUUAUGGGUCCUUGACGGUAUAACGUUGAUUGGUGCUCAGUAGUUUCGGGAUUGGUCAAGUAUGGUACAAACAAAUAAUAUAUUAGGUAAUGCCUAAAUAUGUAGGUUAUUAGAAAAAAAAAAAAUAUAUAUAUAUAUAUAUAUUAGCCACAAUGGGGAUAUAAAAUGGCAGGCAGUUUCAUUAGAUGCCAUAAUCAUCACUUAUUGUAUUCGUCUGUUACUAUGCAUGUCAUGUGACACCACAUACCAUCACUCUCUGCAUGUACUUAUAUAUAUAUAUAUUAGCACGACAGACAAGGUGUGGCAGAAAUAUUUAAAGUGGAAGCUAAUAAUAAAAGUGUUCUUAUCUGUGAGUUUUUUUUUUUUUUCCUUUGUGAGAGUGGUUGACACUAAAAGCAAAAGCAAAUGCAUCUUAUCUUUCUUUUGAAUUCGGUGGUCAGUAGCUUUUGAUAAAGCUUCCUGCACGUUCUAGCCUUGAGAAGGCAUGGAACAAACAAAAGAUAACUCAGAAGCAGACAAUGAGCCUGCAACUAGCUGGUCCGAGCCUUGGUUCUUUUAGGAGAGACCUUGCCUAUUCUCCUAUCUGAUCACCUGAAAAAACCUGCUGAAUACAGGUAGGGGGAAGUAGAUGUUGACGGCGAGAAUUCCGACGUUCUUGGCCAUUUUCUCUGAUGAGCGUUUAAGUCACUUCAACGAACGAAAUCCCUCAGCGAAAGUAUCCGAGAGAUUGAAAAAUACCUGGUGCUCCUCUCUACUCGUCGAGCUAAAUUUAGAGAGAGGAGGAGAGGAGAGAGAGAUGAAUGUGAGUCUCUCGCACAGAAUCCAAGAAAUUUGCAGAGAGAGGGAUGUUGAGAGGUUUGAAGGUUGUAAUCACUUUGUAAUUUUAUCUGUCGGUGAAGAGGAUGGGCAUUCCGCAGGGCAGCCUGAUUGAAAGAAACAACAAGGUACCUGAGAGAGAUAUUCCCACCCACGACCGACCCACAAAAGACAACGCUCAAAGUAGCAAUCUUGAGGAACUGGAAUGAGAUUUGAUGGUCUAGAGAGGCACAAUCUUGAGGAAAACGAUGGAGAGGUAGCUAAGAACUGCGCAGGCGUCCAUGUGGCACAUUGUGAGGAAGAUUGGGAAUCGGAAGCCAUAGUUGGAGAGUAAGAACUUGUUGAGUAGGAGGCGCCGAUGUUUGAUGAGUACCAGAGGAUUAUGAGGGAAGAUAUGAAAAUGGCUUGCUUAUUUGACAACAUUGCUCAAAUAGGUUGAAGGAGGAUGAGAGAUUUUGAGGUGUUUGUUUGGUGGAACAUGUGCUUAUCCCUAAGCCCAUGACAAAUGUAAAAGGGGAGAGAGCCCUUAUUCUAUAAAAAUGACUCUCCCUCACCCUCAUGAAUGACAGACAUUCGGCCUCACAUCCAGAGAGCCUCACAUUCAUCCCUCACAAUAUAUAGGGCAAUACCCUCUCAACCAAACAGAGAGCAAAAUGGCAAGGGUUGCAUCCACAAAGAGCUCACUUGCCGAUCCAUUGUAAUCCAUACAUACAUACAUAAUCAACAUCAGUGUGGACGUAGCCCAAACAUUGAGGUGAACCACGAUACAUCUUUGUCUUCUUUGGUGUUUAUGUGAUUCACGGCCAGAUUUACGUUAGCCUAAGAUCUGUCGGAUUUUAUGCAUCAACAUUUGGCGCCGUCUGUGAGAAACGACACGAAAAGCUAUGUCGGUUCUCUUUCAAUCUUUCAUCUCACCACUGUGAAACCUUCACAACCUCACCACUAUCCACCGUGGAUUUGCAAAACCCAUAUAGAGACACAAUCUAUCUCUCAUUCCUUCUCUCUCACUUCUCACUCUCUUUCUUCCCUCCGCAAUGAAGUCGUGGAUUGACGACUUAGCCGACGAUCUCCAAAGUCUGAGUUUCACGUCCACCACAACCACCAACACCAACACCAACACUACCAAGCGCAGCACUAGCUCCUGCUCCGAAUCCCUGACCCGGUAAAUCUUCAUCUCCGACCUCAAAUUCGUAGAGCGCCUCGGUUCCGGCGAUAUCGAUUUCGUCUACUUGGCCAAUUCGAAGUCCCUUGCUAGGGGCCAGGGGUGUGUAUUUACUUCGAAGGUGAGGGACAAGAAGGAACUGAUCAGCCGGAGCAAGGAAUGGCGAGCCAGGACAGAGGGGGAAAUACUAGAAAUGUUGGAGCACCCGUUUUUUCCCACGCUCUAUGCGAGCAUCGACGCGCCCAACUGGCUUUUUCUGCUCACCGAAAAAGAGGGCUUGAAGCCCAUGAAAGAUCAUAUAGAUCUUGAUUCACAGACGAAGAAACGAGACCUGAAGGAGAUUGCGGGCAGCUUCUGGUCAGCAUAUUCAGUUUUCAGCAAAAAAUUACAGAAAUGAAGGCAGAAGCAGAAGCUGAAGAAACGGCGGAACGGCUGCGGGUCGGCUCGUUAUCGGUGGAGAAGCCGAUCGUGAGUGUUUCCACCUACUGACAUCAGCCAGAAGAUUUGAGACUUCUGAGCUGGAGAAGGACAUCCGACUUAAAAAAUGGGAUCGGGAUCAGGAUCAUGACAUAUGGAAAGAAGAGAUAGCUUCACAAGCGACCCGUUAAAGACAUUGAUCAUGUGCUCGAAAAUGGGUUUCUCUCGAUUAUCGUGUUUGGUGCUUCUGGUGAUCCUGCCAAGAAGAAGACUUUUACAGAGGCUACUUACCAUCCACCGGUGGAAACAUUCACGAAGAAGAUAAGACUUUAUAUUUCUUUAUGUUAUUUCUCAAUUAUUCUAUAAAUGGUGCCCAGCUUGACUUUUCUUUUGUUUGCCUCAAUUAUUCUAUAAAUGGCGCCCCACCUCCUGCGAAUACCACAGGAAAAGUGGAGAUAAGAUUCUUUUCUCAUAACAAUUCUAUUAUUAUUCCUUGCCAUCUGCCAAAAGAAAAAAGAAAAUAGCUUUAAUUUUCUUUUGUCUGCCAUUACACAUAUUUAACCCAUGUACAUGUGCAAUAUUUAUUCAUUGCCUAGUGAUAUUGUAACUGCUAUUAAACUAUGUCACUUAUACAAUAUGUGAUUUACCAUACGACUGAAUAAAUUAUUUAUUUAUAAAAGGCACAUGGUACAAUAUUUUGCCUUGACAAACUUUGUCAAUUGGAUUUAUUCAUUAUACGGUCAUACUUAUACUGUCAUUUAUUGUCAGGAAUUAUUGAGCAACUAGAUCCACUGAUCAACAUUGUUGCUGAUUAAAAGAACCCAAUAUGCGAACCCGACAAGCGGACCCGAAUCAUGUCGAGAAUCAACUCAUACUGAGUGCAUGCUGACAUAAAGUACAUACUUGCAAUGAGGAACACCACGAGCCGAGCCGCCUUGCAGCGAGCAUCGCCUCUAGCCGAGCAACCUCGCAACGAGCAUCGCCUCCAGCCGAGUAACUGUCUCGCCGCGAGCAUAGCCUCUAGCCUAGCAGCCUCGCAACGAGCAUCGCCUCUAGUCGAGCAGUCUCGCAACGUGUGAUACCUCUAGCCGAGUAUUACUUUAUGUUGAGCAUUGCCUUGUGUUGAGUACUGGUUCAAGACAUCUAGCCACUUCGGCUCGUACAUGGAUUGAAUUUGAAGUCUCCAGCCAAAAGACUCUCUUGACUGAAGACUUGGGGGACUCCUGUUGGUACCAUAUAUUGGGCCUCGUCUUUGGGCCUCAUCCAUAAACCCAUGACAAAUGUAAAAGGGGAGAGAGCCCUUAUUCUAUAAAAUGGACUCUCCCUCACCCUCAUGAAGGACAGACAUUCGGCCGCACAUCCAUAGAGCCUCACAUUCAUCCCUCACAAUAUAGAGGGCAAUACCCUCUCAGCCAAACAGAGAGCAAAAUGGCAAGGGUUGCAUCCACAGAGAGCUCCCUUGCCGAUCUAUUGUAAUCCAUACAUACAUACAUAAUCAACAUCAGUGUGGACGUAACCUAAACAUUAGGAUGAACCACGAUACAUCUUUAUGUUCUUGGGUGUUUGUGUGAUUCACGGCCGAAUUUACGUUGGUCCAAGAUCCUUCAGAUUUUGUGCAUAACACCACUACUUUCGUGUUCUUUUUCAUUAUAUCAUUAAUCAUUCUCGUCUCAUUAAUCUUAUGACGAUUUUCUCAGGAUGAUAUGCUCAUAGCCCAAGAUGAAAUAUUUGGACCCGUAACGGCGCUGAUGAAGUUCAAGUAAGUAGGACAAGUCUGAUUUCUUUUGUUUGAUUCGCCUUCAAGGCUUCAACACGAACAUUGCUUAAGAUCAUGGCGUGUGAAAAUGUUCAGGACAAUUGAGGAGGCAAUACAGAGAGCCAACAACACCAGAUACGGCCUGGCAGCAGGGAUCAUAACCAAGGACUUGAAUGCGGCCAACACCGUCUCAAGGUCAAUUCGUGCGGGCAUUAUUUGGAUCAACUGCUACUUUGCAUUCGAUCGAGACUGCCCUUACGGAGGGUAUAAGAUGAGUGGAUUUGCAAGGGACUUUGGUAUGCAGGCCCUCUAGAAAUACCCCCAUAGCAAAUCUGUUGUCACUCCCAUUUAUAACUCCCCCUGGCUCUAAGUUAUGAUCGAAUCUUACGGCUGCCAGAUUGUGACCUUGUAUUUGUGCAAUAAUAAUACACCUAUUUUUGGGUGACAAGUUUCCAAUUGUAUCAGGUAAUCGUAUGCAAAAUACACAGAAGUUUGAUCGGAUCAAACAGUAACAAUAAAAAGCAUAAUAUUUUGCCAACGAAACAUCAAAUUCCAUUAAUUUCAUGAAAUACAUUGGCGAUUUCAGCCUACUACAUAUCUUUUGCAUCUUUGUACACGGUUUUGAUCACCACACCCGGUUCUUAACUCUCGACACCAACCAAAACGGACCCAUAUACACACGCACCCACACAACAGACAACAUCAUGUUCACGACACAAAACAAUCCUAACAGGACUUUUUCUAUUUCCCAACCUUGCCCCUGAGCUUGACUCCCAGAACCCUCUCCAUCUUCGCCAGCACCGCCUGGUUCGGCACCGCCUUCCCGUUCUCAUACUCCUGCACCACCUGUGGCCGCUCGUUGAUCCGCUUCGCCAGCUCCGCCUGGCUCAUCUUCUUCUCCAGCCGCGCCUUCUGUGUCGCCUGUCGCACCUCCCGUCGAGACCCGCUCCAGCGCCGCCGGCUCGGCCGCCUCCUCGAGCUUCUUCACGCUGACCACCGGCCCCGCCUUCUUGUUCGAGCCCCCGUCGAAUUUCUUGAUCGUCUGGACCGGCGCACCCGACCGCAUCGCCUGGUUCACCGCCUUCGGGUCGCGGAGGGCGCUGGCCUUAUUGGGCUUCUUCUGGAGGACCACCGGCUCCCAGUCCUGGGAUAUGACUCCUGGGUUUCGGAUCGGCAUCGUCGGAGAACUAGAGAAAUCUAGAGAGAGAGAGAGAGAGAUUUUAGAGAGAGAGAGAGAGAGUAUUCUGGAUUUUUGUUUGCGGGUUUGGAGGGGAAAAUGAUCGGGGACGAUGAAGUUUGGUGCGCAAUUUAUAGUGGGGCGAGAAUCUGGAAAGUUCUCAAAGGUUCUUUUAGAUAGAAAAUGAAAAUUCCCGGGGGCGGUUAAUGUGUACCUGGUUUUUCAUAUCCGGUUGUCCAUCGCUGCGUAAUGCUCCGUUGUUUGACAACGUGGCUGUACACUAUUGGUGCUUGGCUGGAAGGUUUUCACUUCGUCGCGUAGAGGAUAAUCUUUUCUUUUUCCUUUUUAUUGGAGUAGAGGACCUUUAAGAAUUCGAGAUUAAACGGCCUGUCGUAUGGAUAGAUUUUUGUAGUGCGAAUAUUAUCUCAAAUGUUGAAAUAGUUGAAUUUUUUAAAUAUUCAAUUAUUUAUAUUAUGACAUAUGGUGUAGUAGACCAAUGUCGAAGAUUUUUCUGAUGUCUUGCUUUGUUUGCAACACGAACAUAACAUAAGAGCUUGUAUUGAUCGGUCGACUGACAAAAAUCACAAGAAUUAUGUAGCUUCUGGCGUAAAAAUUUUCGGUUUUCACUGCCUCUAUCAUGUAACCUUAUAUUUAGGGUCUAAUUAAUCACUGUCGCAUCUUUGUAUUUUGCUAAAUUGCAUCCUGAAAUGUCCCCUUAACGGAAAAGGAAGAAAAGGAGGAGAUAAAUGUGGUAGAAACCAUCAAUUAUCAAUCCUAAACCACAAAUUAACUAAAAACCCAAAACCAAUUAGAAAUUAAACAAACCUCUUGUUUUCCCGGGAAAUUCGGGUUUUGUAUAACUUUUUCAAAUGACCAAAACACCCUCCUAUUUCACUCUUGCAUUUUAAGUAACACUGUCGGUAGUUGACACCAGAAACCCAAAAUGGUCCUUCCGCAGCACUAGAACCACACAACUAACUUAACCGUUUUUUGAAAUUUGUUCGUUCUUCUCUCUCCCCUCCUCCCCUGAGACUGCCAUGCAUGGAGAAAGAUCCGAUCAGUGAAGAAAACGGCAAAUCGAGCCGGAACAAGCAAACAAAAUUCAAGAGGAAAGAGCUGGGAUUGUCGUGCAUGCUAAACACCGAACUCGGCGCCGUCCUUGCCGUCAUCCGCCGUCCCCUCAACCCGACUUCCCACUGCUUCGCCGCCCCGGAAGACACCAUCGACCCUUCCCUUCUCCAAUCCCUAAAAUCCCUCCGCGCCCUGAUCUUCAAUCCCCAGCAGGAAUGGCGCACAAUAGACCCCUCCAUCUACCUCUCCCCCUUCCUGGAUGUCAUCCAAAGCGAGGACGUCCACGCCGCUGCCACUCGCGUCGCCCUCUCCGCCACGCUGAAGAUUAUCAAGCUCGGAGUCUUCGACGAGAAGACUCCGGGGGCGAAAGAAGCUAUUAACACCAUGGUCACAUCCAUCACCACGUGCCGGCUCGAAAGGACCGAUUCUGUCAACGAGGACGCCGUGAUGCUGAGCAUCCUUCAGGUCCUGACCGGAAUCAUGAACCACCGAGCUUCGGUUCUGCUCUCCGAUCAGUCAGUGUGCACAAUUGUGAACACCUGUUUUCAGGUGGUUCAGCAAUCGGCGAACAGAGGAGACUUGCUAAUGCGAAGUGCGAGGUACAAUGCACGAGCUGAUCCAGAUCAUUUUUUCGCGGUUGCCGGAAAUUGAUUUCAGGGAUGACGAGAGCUUGGCCAGUACUGACACCGAGGACGCCGAUGCAGACGAUGGGACUAUGGAUUCCGGAUAUGGGAUCCGGUGUGCGGUUGAUAUUUUUCACUUCUUGUGUUCUUUGUUGAAUGUGGUUCAGGUGGUUGAGACAGAUCAAGGGUCUACUGUGCAAACUGCCAACGAGGAUGUGCAGCUUUUCGCUCUCGUUCUGAUCAACUCCGCGAUCGAUUUGAGCGGGGAUGGAAUCGGGUCGCAUUCGAAGUUGUUGAGGAUGAUGAAAGACGAUCUCUUUCACCAUUUGGUUCACUACGGCACGCGUUCAAGCCCGCUUGUUUUUUCCAUGAUUUGCAGUACGGUUUUGAACAUGUAUCACUUUCUUCGGAGGUGAGGUUUUCGGGUUCAUUUCAAGAUGCCUAUAUUUCCUGUUCUAAUUUUCACACUUCUAUUUGGGAAUUCUUUGCUUUGUUUUUGCAGGUUCAUUCGUCUUCAGUUAGAAGCGUUCUUCACGUUUGUGCUGUUUCGAGUUUCAGCUCCCGGAGUGUCAAUCCAACUUCAAGAGGUUGCACUUGAAGGGAUUAUAAAUUUCUGCAGACAACUGACAUUCGUCGUAGAGGUCUAUGUGAACUACGACUGUGAUCCGCUUUGCCAUAAUGUGUUCGAGGAGAUAGGGAAGUUGCUUUGCAAGCUGUCCUUUCCGGUCGCAAGCCCUUUGACAACUUUACAGAUACAAGCCUUUGAAGGGUUAGUUAUCAUGAUCCACAACAUUGCAGACAGUAUUGAUAAAGAAAAUGAUACAAGCCCGUCUGGACCCUACCCGAUUGAGAUCAGAGAGUAUACGCCGUUUUGGGAAGACAAACCAAAAGAUGAUUCAGAAGCUUGGGUGCAAUUUGUAAGGCUGAGGAAAGCGCAGAAGAGGAAAAUAUUGAUUGCCGGACACCAUUUUAAUUGCGACGAAAAGAAGGGAAUGGAGUACUUGAAGCUUUCCAACUUAGUCUCUGACCCUCCGGAUCCAAAGACUUUGGCUUAUUUCUUUCGUUACACUCCUGGGCUUGACAAGACGAUGAUAGGCGAUUAUCUUGGUGAUCCUGAUGAGUUUCACAUCAAAGUACUUAAAGAAUUCACGGGAGCCUUUGGAUUUUCAGGCAUGAAUCUCGAUAGUGCUCUCCGAACUUAUCUGGAGACUUUCCGUUUGCCAGGAGAGUCCCAGAAGAUUCAGAGGAUUCUCGAAGCGUUUUCAGAGAGUUUUUUUGAGCAGCAGUCUGCAGAUGUUUUUGUGAACAAAGAUACUGUAUUCAUUCUUUGCUACUCUCUCAUUAUGCUCAAUACUGACCAGCACAAUCCGCAAGUAAAGAAGAAGAUGACGGAAGAAGAGUUCAUCAGGAAUAAUAGGGCAAUCAAUGGAGGGAAGGAUCUUCCUAGAGAGUAUCUGUCUGAGCUUUUCCAAUCCAUAUCGAACAAUGCAAUCACGCUUUUUGGUCAAUCUGGUAUGACAGUACUAAUGAACCCGAGCAGAUGGAUUGAGUUGAUGAACUGUUCCAAAACAGUGCAGCCUUUCAUUCUGUGUGAUUUUGAUCGUCGGCUAGGAAGAGACAUGUUUGCUUGCAUCGCUGGCCCUUCAGUCGCUACUAUUUCUGCAUUUUUCGAGCAAGCUGAAGAAGAGGAGUUGCUCCAUGAAUGCAUUGAAGGAUUAUUCUCGGUAGCCAGGAUAGCGCAGUAUGGACUGGAGGACACACUCGAUGAGCUCAUUGCCACCUUCUCGAGAUUCACCACGCUGCUUAAUCCUUACGCCUCUGCAGAAGAAACACUCUUUGCUUUUAGCAAAGAUUUGAAGCCAAGAAUGGCUACACUCGCUGUUUUCACCAUCGCAAACAACUUUGGAGAGUCAAUCAGAGGGGGUUGGAGGAACAUUGUGGACUGUUUGUUGAAACUCAAGAGGCUUAAACUCCUUCCCCAAAAUGUUCUCGAAUUUGAUGCUUCCACCUCAUCUGAUGCUCAACCUACAUCUGAAUCGGGUGUAAUCUUCCCUGGUCACGAUCCCAAAUUUGGAGGACGACAGGCUUCUGGCAUGAUUAGUCGAUUCUCACAUUUUCUAUCACUAGAGAGUCCGGAAGAUGCUGUAUCUCUUGGCAUGAGUGAAUUUGAACAGAACCUGAAGGUUAUCAAACAAUGCCGAAUUGGGAACAUCUUCAGCACUAGUUCAAACUUUCCUGAGGACUCUUUGCUGAACCUCGGGCGUUCGCUAAUAUAUGCAGCUGCAGGGAAAGGGCAGAAGUUUAGCACACCUGUUGAAGAAGAAGAGGCCGUUGAGUUCUGCUGGGAUUUGAUGGUUGCCAUCUCUUUGGCCAACGUCCAUAGAUUCCAAGCAUUUUGGUCUAGUUUUAAUGAUUAUCUGCUGGCGGUUGCUCAGUUUCCGAUGUUCUCCCCAAUCCCAUUUGCUGAAAAGGCCAUUGUAGGCCUCUUCAAGGUCUGUCUGAAGCUCCUUGGCACAUACCAACCUGACAGAGUCCCCGAGGAGCUCAUUUUCAAGUCGAUAAAUCUAAUGUGGAAGCUGGAAAAAGAAAUUCUCGACACUUGCAGCGAGUCCAUUACACAAUCAUUAAACAAGAUUCUCGUUGAGUACCCUGCCAAUUUGCAAACCCAACUCGGAUGGAAGUCAGUUCUCCACUUGUUAUCAGUCUCCGGGCGACACCCUGACACCUAUGAGCAGGGAGUUGAGACUCUGAUCAUGGUGAUGUCCGAUGGAACCCAUGUAUCGCGGACAAAUUAUGCUUACUUCAUUGACUGUGCCUUUGGUUUCAUUGCUCUAAAAAACAGCCCAUCAGAGAAGAACUUGAAGAUACUUGACCUAUUAGCGGAUUCUGUAAAUUUGUUGAUCCAAUGGUACAGAAAUCAUUACUCAGAUCCCGGGAACAAUUACAGCAUCGCGAGCAACACUAGUACCUCCUCCUUAGAAGACUCGAAAGGUUUCGGCUCUAACAACUUUACCAUGAAUUUGUUUGUCAAGCUAGGGGAGGCAUUCCGAAAGACCAGCCUAGCUCGGCGAGAAGAAAUAAGAAACCAUGCAGUCUUGUCUCUUAAAAGAAGUUUCCAACUUGCUGAGGAACUAGAAUUCACACCAACCAACUGUAUCAACUGUUUCAACCUCCUUAUCUUCGCGAUGGUGGAUGAUCUGCACGAAAAGAUGCUGGAGUACUCACGAAGAGAGAACGCAGAGAAGGAGAUGAGAGGCAUGGAAGGGACCUUGAAGAUUGCAUUGGAGCUCCUCACAGAUGUGUACUUGCAGUUUCUGAUACCAAUUUCGCAAUGCAGCGGCUUUCGGACAUUUUGGUUAGGAGUGUUGAGAAGGAUGGACACAUGUAUGAAGGCGGAUUUGGGAUCGUAUGGUGAAUCAAAACUGCCGGAAGUUGUGCCGGAGUUGCUGAGAAAGUUGAUUACGGAGAUGAAGGAGAAGGAGAUUUUAGUGCCGAAGGAGGGUGACGAUCUUUGGGAGAUAACACACAUUCAGAUACAGUGGAUAGCUCCUUCAAUCAAGGAGGAGCUAUUUCCAGAAGAAAGUUUGUAAAAAAUUGAAGAAAAUACUACCAUAAACUUCUUAAAAUUGAAGAUUAAUAUUCCGGCGAUGCUUUAGUCGUCGGAUCUCCGGUCUAGCCCGGUUUUGGACCUGUGAGUAUUUCUUAUUUUAGCUUACAACAUUUUUCACAGAAAAUUUUAAUUAUAAUCAAAUUUCGCGACAUAUUACCAGAACAAAAAUAAUUUCAUAAAACUAAAAGAUAACAGUAGAUGAUAUGACAGUAACAGAUUAGAUACGCAUGUCUUGCAAGUUAAUCAAAAGCCCCUGUGCUAUCAAAUUACAUAAUAAAGUUUUUAUGAGAUGUUAGCGCAUUCUUUACUUGAGCCGGGAGGAUAAGUUCAUCUCCGAAACAGUUGAGAACAGUUGUUGAUGUCCCCAUCCUUCUCGAUCAUCACAAGUCCUGCGGCAAGAAAUUAGGACAAAUUUAGAAAUUUCAUUAACAAGAAGAUGGUUUUUUGAAUCCGGUCAAUAUAACAUUCGACCUUGAAGAGUUAUGUUAACAACAUCUUGUUCCAAAUCACACACAAAGAAAUGAUACAAAUGUAUUCUGGAUCAUUCUGCUACAACGGACAAUGAAGUAGCGCAUUAGGCAAGUAGAAUUUGCUGAAGAAAACGAAUAGCCAUGAGUACAACAACAGGCCUAAGGAGAUUUUCUAGCUAAGCUAGACAGCCAACAGAAUGAUAGACGGUCUAAAGCCUCGGUUCUAACAAUGUUGAUCAAUGUCGAGGCUUUGGCAAACAAAUGGAACUUACUUUGACAAUGUUGUCAAAUGCUCUCAAACACGAGGCUAUGAAGUUCUAAUGUUUGACAGUCUGAAGCCUCAUCUCUAACAAUGUGCGAUAUGACUGCAACAAAAUUGUAUCUUUUACUCAAUCAACAGAGAAAAUGCCAUGAAACAACAUAUAUUCACAUAACUCAACAGCGGAAUAAAACCAAUUCGUUAAUUCUUUGGAGCGAGCAACACAAUGUUACAACAACAACAAAGCCUUUUCCCACUAGGUAGGGUCAGCUAGCAACACAAUGUUAGAUACACAAAAUUAUACAGUCAGAGCAAACUUAGCAUAUCAUAAUACAAUAAUCUCACAAAAAUUAUAUCUAAAGAAAUAACGAAAUGUCAAAUGUUAUGCAAUUGUAGCAAGAAAUUCAAUAUGCCAACUAAGUUGAAGCAAAAGGGAGAUACC
rnacentral:lncRNA from 1 species